AGAUUGCAGAUGCCACACAUGUGGAAGGUGCGAGGGAGGCUAUGGAGGAGGCCACAGGCGAGCUCUCCCUCAUGGGCUCCUUCUCCUUUGUGCGGAGCCUCCCGCAUAGGGAUAAGCUGCUGGGGGCAGCCCUCCAUUUUACUUUUAUGUCGACUGCUCUCAAUCAAUUCAAAGAAGGGUUGGAGACCUUUGGUAUUCUAGCCCUUUUGAAGAUACACCAUGAGGCGCUCAAAGGGGUCUUCAUGGACACACCUGGAGUCCACAUUCCAGACCUCCCAGCUGUCAGAGCCGAGCUCCAAUCGGAGGAGGAAGGAGGCCAGGACCCUUAUAUUUUGGAGGGACUGGCUGAUCGAGGUGGAGGAUGGAGAUACGAGUCUCACCCUGGGGGCGGUUUUGGCGUUUGCCACGGGCCUCAAGAGGAUUCCUGCUGUGGGUUUUCCCAUCCAACCCCGGCUGCAAUUCCUUCAUGAGGAGGAUGGACUGGCCCAUUUCCCCAAGAUCAAUACCUGUUCCCUGGUCCUCUGGCUACUGAUUUAAGCAGGCCAUGGAGGAAGGAAUAACCUCCUGUGGGAGUACCUUUGGCGUGGCCUAAUUUUGUGCUCCCCCCCCCCUAUGUAGUAGGCCUACUGCUUAGGAAUGAAUUUUUAUGAAGCUUGUUUAUAUGCUAUUUCCCAUGAUAAAUUAACAUUUCAUUGCUGUGAGUUGUGAAGAUUAUACAAAUAAAUAUUAAAUCUGCUGAAUCAGAAUAAUCAUUUCCAAUGAUUAUAAAUGAACAUUUCAUUGCUG
ensembl:lncRNA